AGCGAACGCUGGCGGCAGGCUUAACACAUGCAAGUCGAACGGGCAUCUUCGGAUGCUAGUGGCAGACGGGUGAGUAACACGUGGGAACGUACCUUUCGGUUCGGAAUAAUACAGGGAAACUUGUACUAAUACCGGAUACGCCCUUCGGGGGAAAGAUUUAUCGCCGAUAGAUCGGCCCGCGUCUGAUUAGCUAGUUGGUGAGGUAAUGGCUCACCAAGGCGACGAUCAGUAGCUGGUCUGAGAGGAUGAUCAGCCACACUGGGACUGAGACACGGCCCAGACUCCUACGGGAGGCAGCAGUGGGGAAUAUUGGACAAUGGGCGAAAGCCUGAUCCAGCCAUGCCGCGUGUGUGAUGAAGGCCUUAGGGUUGUAAAGCACUUUUGUCCGGGAAGAUAAUGACUGUACCGGAAGAAUAAGCCCCGGCUAACUUCGUGCCAGCCGCCGCAGUAAGAC
rnacentral:rRNA from 1 species